UGGCGCUUACCAGCAGGAAUCACUUUGCUUUGCAUGAUCUAAGAAAAGAGAAGAUGGUAACUGGCAGUGGGUAGGUGCCUUGCGGACCCUGGAUGUUCUUUGUGAAUGUUACGACGAUCCUAAUGUCAAGUUAAUGGAGCUUUCUCACUGAUGGAUGUUGAAGCCGACUUUGUGAAGCCAAGCAAUCUCUCGGUGCCCUCAGCUCACUGGCGGCUAAGUCAAGCUUCCAGUCAAGAUAUUGAAGAGAGCAAGGAGGAAGUCAAGUUUUCCUCAUUUAUUUAUUCACUCAUUAAUUCGGCAAGUAUUAUUUGAUGUGAUGUGAGAGUUGGACCAUAAGGAAGGCUGAGCGCCAAAGACUUGAUGCUUUUGAACUGUGGUGUUGGAGAAGAUGCUUGAGAGUCCCUUGAACUGCAAGGAGAUCAAACCAGUCAAUCCUAAAGGGAAUCAGUCCUGAGUAUUCAUUGGAAGGACUGAUGCUGAAGCUCUAAUACUUUGGCCACCUAAUGUGAAGAACUGACUCCUUGGAAAAGACCAUGAUUCUGGGAGAGAUUGAAGGCAGGAGGAGAAGGGGACGACAGAGGAUGAGAUGGUGGGAUGGCAUCACCGACUUGAUGGACAUGAGUUUGAGGAAGUUCUGGGAGUUGGUGAUGGACAGGGAAGCCUGGCGUGCUGCAGGCCAUGGGAUUGUCCAGAGUUGGACACGACUGAGCUACUGAACUGAACUGAACUGAUAAUUUGUUGAACUGACAAGAAUUCACAUAUCUCUGAUAGUUCUUAGAAAUCACCAGCCAUCAAUACAUCCGCUUUCAGUUUUUAUAAGUGAGAAAUAGAGCUCUUAAAAAAUUGAUGGAUAUUUGAUUGACAAUGCUGUUUUUAUUUCAGGUGUACAGCAAAGUGAUUCAUAUAUAUAUAUUUCUUUUCCAUAUUCUUUUUCAUUGUUGGUUAUUACAAGAUAUUGAAUGUUAUCCUCUGUGCUAUACAGGAGGUCCUUUUUGUUUAUCUAUUUUAUAUACAUUAGUGUGUAUCUGUUAAUCCCAAGUUCCUAAUUAAUCCCCCCUUUUCCCUUUGAACUGUGGUGUUGGAGAAGACUCUUGGGAGUCCCUUGGACUGCAAGGAGAUCUAGCCAGUCCAUCCUAAAGGAGAUCAGUCCUGAGUUUUCAUUGGAAGGCCUGAUGUUGAAAAUGAAGCUCUAAUACUUUGGCCACCUAAUGCAAAGAGCUGACUCA
ensembl:lncRNA